UCCCUAGUAGCUUAGUUGGUAAAGAAUCUGCCUGCAUUGCAGGAGACCCAGGUUCGAUUCCUAGGUCUGGAA
rnacentral:tRNA from 1 species